GCCUACGGCCACACCACCCUGAACGCGCCCAAUCUCGUCUGAUCUCGGAAGCUAAGCAGGGCUGGGCCUCAUUAGUACUUGGUUGGCA
rnacentral:rRNA from 1 species